UCAGAUGUGGUGUAAGGUACACACUUGCUUUCAUUAUGAGACCAACGUCCGGGGUUCGAUUCCUCGCGUCUGAA